UACGUAUGUGGCGAGCGUUGUUCGGAAUUACUGGGCAUAAAGAGUUCGUAGGCGGGUUGAUAAGUUGGAUGUGAAAUCCCGGGGCUUACCCCCGGAACUGCAUUCAAUACUGUCGACCUGGAGUCCUUCAGGGGUAAGUGGAAUUCCAUGUGUAGCGGUGAAAUGCGUAGAUAUAUGGGAGAACGCCAAUGGCGAAGGCAGCUUACUGGGGAGUGACUGACGCUGAGGAACGAAAGCUAGGGGAUCAAACGGG
rnacentral:rRNA from 1 species